rnacentral:rRNA from 1 species
UAGCGGCGAGUGAAGCGGCAAAAGCUCAAAUUUGAAAUCUGGCACUUUCAGUGUCCGAGUUGUAAUUUGAAGAAGGUAUCUUUGGGUCUGGCUCUUGUCUAUGUUUCUUGGAACAGAACGUCACAGAGGGUGAGAAUCCCGUGCGAUGAGAUGUCCCAGACCUAUGUAAAGUUCCUUCGAAGAGUCGAGUUGUUUGGGAAUGCAGCUCUAAGUGGGUGGUAAAUUCCAUCUAAAGCUAAAUAUUGGCGAGAGACCGAUAGCGAACAAGUACAGUGAUGGAAAGAUGAAAAGAACUUUGAAAAGAGAGUGAAAAAGUACGUGAAAUUGUUGAAAGGGAAGGGCUUGAGAUCAGACUUGGUAUUUUGUAUGUUACUCUCUCGGGGGUGGCCUCUACAGUUUACCGGGCCAGCAUCAGUUUGAGCGGUAGGAUAAGUGCAAAGAAAUGUGGCACUGCUUCGGUAGUGUGUUAUAGUCUUUGUCGAUACUGCCAGCUUAGACUGAGGACUGCGGCUUCGGCCUAGGAUGUUGGCAUAAUGAUCUUAAGUCGCCCGUCUUGA